AUCGCUUCUCGGCCUUUUGGCUAAGAUCAAGUGUAGUAUCUGUUCUUAUCAGUUUAAAAUGUCUUAUUCUAACAAAAUCAGUAUAUUAUGACAAAUUUUCUGAGGAGUAGGAGGAAAAAAAGAGUAAAAGAACAUGAGGAAGGGAUUUCUACCACUUCAAACAAAGUUGCCAUAUGGCUAGUGGUGGACCUGCU